GCCUGUUCUUCAAACCGUAACUGAAUUCAACCUCAAGUCUAAUUCGAUUUAUUCUCUGUCUCAGAAGAGAUGGGUGAUUACAGAUUUCAAGCUUUUUCCAUCGAAUUACAAGGAAGAAUCUGUGGGUCGAUCUGCUUGUGCUGGGUUGGUGCUUAACUUGAGCAAACAUGGAGAAGACGCUGAAUUUGACGAGAAUCAGAAAUCUAAGAACUACUAUCUAUUUACAUACUACUACUGCUACUUUGUUCUUUACUCUUUGUGAUAGAGAAAUUAUAUGGCGAAUGCAAUUUCUUCAUUCAUUGUUUAUUUGGUUCUCUCUAACAUGAAUUUCUAGGGGUGUUUCUUUGCCAGAAUUCGAAGAUAGUUAAUCUGCACAUGUAUGCUGUAAAAAUUGUGGAUGUCGGUGGUUCAAAAGACCCUUUCUUAACCCAAGUACCAGAUUUUGCAGUACUUUUUGGCAGUAAGCUGGACGCAGAGGUUUUAUCAAUGUCGAUGGACCUCUUUGUAGAUAAAACCAUGAUAACAAAGGCAUCUCUUGUAUUCCAGGGAUCUAUUGAUAUCACAGUAGUAGAUCUUGAACUGUUAAUUUUUCUAAUGAUAUUCAGCACUUUCAUGCUUCAGUAGACUACUACCCAAUGUUAUAGCUUUUUCUCCCUUUUUUGACGUGCAGCUAGUUUUGUUCAAGAGCUUUCAUGUUAGACAUGAGUAUUCUAAACACACAGCUAAUCAGAUUAUGUAUAAGACAUAAAAUGGAUCUCCAUCAAUCCUUUAUUAGUUGCAUCAUACCCACAGACACAUAUUUAUCCGUUAUUGAUAUAUAAACCACGAAUAGAACAAAAUCAUCAUAAUCUAGAUUCAUAGACUGGUUUCUUAUUGUUCUAUCCUUUUAUAAUCAUCUAUUUGAUUGAAAAAGUAUGAUUUGUCUAGAUGUCAUUGGUUACAUAAUGAAACAACAAGUAACAAGUUCUUUGAUAAUGGUAAAAUGAAGAAUCUGUAUCUUGUCCCAUAACAUUUUGGGCUAAAAGAGGCCUAGUAGCGUAAUACUGAUGGGGUUAUAGGUCUGAAUGCUUGAAUUCCUGUAUAGAGAUGUUUUCAUGUAUCUGUACAUUCAAUUAGUAAAGACGAAAUUUGAUGUAUAGAACUGGUUUUCUAAUUGAAUCGCCAUCAAGGGGGGGUUUAUAGAGAUGUUUUCAUGUAUCUGUACAUUCGAAAAAGUAUUUUUUGUUUUUUUUCUAUACUUGAUCCAUGGGCGCGAAGAAGCAGAGUUCUUUCCACAGAAUUCGUGUACUUAUUGAUCUUUGAAGAAGUGCGCAUUUCACACCUGGCCACUUUAUAAAAAAAGACAUGGAACCAAGCCCAAAUGUAAUUGGAUAACAUGCAAGUAUUCGAAAUAAACUUGAAUGAAGAAAAGAGAGGAUAUAAACCUUCAUAUCCUCUUCUAUUUUAUUCUUUAGUUUUUGCAGAGUUGUGGUAGCUCUUGUGUUUUAAAUGAGUUUUAUUUCUUUCAUGAAUUAUGAAUUGAAUAUUUGAAUAGCUAUGGACUCCACUUUGUUCAGCUCUUUAAUGUCUUUCAUUUUGUACUAAUUUAUAACGUGACUGCAGCCUCUGAUGCAAGCUGGCUGCCUGAUGUUGCCUUUUAUUUUGGUUUGAGCAGCUGAUGGCCUUGAAGAGUUGGUUUGCAGGUAGGUUCCGGCGGUGCUGAAGAAUGAAUUUGGCUAAGGAAGAUGCUGUUAUCUGGUUGCAAUGAAACUGCAGGUGCGUUGCAGUGAGCUUAACGGAGAUUGCAAGGGAUCUGAUAUUGCUGCUUAGAGCUUGUGAUGAUUGCAGGCUAGGCUUGUAACCUGAGCUUGAGCUAGUGAUUGAGUUGACAUGAAAUUGGAAAUUCUUCAGGUAAAGCUACGACGAUGUGUUUCAGGUAAAGCUGAAAUUGGUACUGAUAUUGAGCAAUGAAGCUGAAACAUUUGCAGCUGCAGUUCAGAGAUUCUGCCAUUGGAUCUGAAGCUUGCAGUCACAAUGUCACCCACAAUAGGAUUCCAAGGGUUGAGAUGAUUUUUGAAGCUGAGAAAGAAUAGCUAGAAGGGUUUUACUAAACCAAAAGUGUUAUUAGAUUAUUUUUUUCAAUGUCGAAGUUCUGUAAAACGGAUCUUUUGUAGUAACAAACAAUCACUAGUCCAGAAGGGGCUAUAAAUCACGAAUAAAGUCUGUUAUAAAACAUGAAUUAACACGGUUUUUAUUUGUUAUUCGAACCGUUAUUUAUUUGGU